rnacentral:lncRNA from 1 species
UAACAAAUGAGAUUAGUUCACCAUCAUCAUGACAGAACUAAGUGUACAAUGGAAUGAAAGAGAUAGAAACCCUAGAAAGAGAAAAGGAGAGUUGUCAAUUCCCCAAUUUUGCCCUCAAAGGGGUGAAAAGUGUGUUUCUGUGCCUAAACCAUUAAAAGAUACAUUCUCUAAGACGUUCUGGCCUUUAAAUAGGGCAUAAAUAUAACAGAAAACGGGUCUAGGACCAAAGCAGGUCAUAAAAAUAAUAGAAAAACAGGCCCAGGUCCAUGCAAAUGGCACUCGGUGCUCAAAAUACCGCUCAGUGAUGGGUGCGGCACUGAGAAUCACCCCCCAGCGGUGCCCAGGCGUCAAAAAAGUGAAAAACUUGUCCCAAAGUUGGUGCUCAGCGCUACCUUUUCUGCACUCUGGUCAACUUUUCAGCAUUCUGGUUGACUGUUGACUUUCUGCAUUUUGUUUGACUUUUCUGCACAGUAACUCCUUGAUACUUCAACCCUUAUUUCAAAUCAUUCCAAAAACCUACAAAAUCAAGGGAAUUUAUUGAUAAAAUCAUAAAACAUAUCCUCAACUCUCUUAUUCACAAAACUAAACCAAAAUCAUGAGUCAAAGCAAGUUUCUAAGUCAACAAGGGUGCAUUUAAUAUCAAAAUUAAGUAUAAAAAUAACGGUUUUUCAAUCGUUAUCAUAAAUCACUUCCUUUUUCGUGUCAUAUGAUCGAGGCUAUUUUUUAUUAUCCCUUUCUUAGCCAAUGCAUGAUAUUUAUCCCAAUAAAAAAAAUGGGGCACAAUGUGUUCUAUCCUUUGAACCUUGAACCUUAAGCAUGAUUUGAAAAGAAACCCUUUUGCAAAAAUCUUUACCUUGAGUUAAGUUGAGAACAUUUGUGUGGUGUUGAUAAAGGUUCAAGUUUGGGGUUUGUUGGAAAAUUUGAAAAAGAAAAUAAAUAAGCAUUGAGCUAAGUGUUGAGCAAGUAUGAAAAGCAAAAAGAAAAGGAAAGAUGAAUGAGAAAGAAAGCAAAGCUCAAUGCAAGGGAAAAUUGGGAAAAAUGAGAAUGGUUUGUCUAAAGAGAGAUUGUGCUUGAAUUCGAAAAUUUGAAUGUCUCUCUUAACUCAAAGAUUUUGUGAUCCAGAAAAACCAAUGUUCUUCUUAGCCCAACCACGUUACUAGCCAUGAAAAGUCCUUGUGAUGAUAACUUGCUUGUGAGUAUGAUUGAUUGUGGUCAAAUGAAAGGAAAAGUUAAUUUAUGUGACAUUAUGAUAGUAGAGUGAAUGAGUGACCUUAUUAUACACCUGUGUGUUUCAAUGAAACACUUUCCUUGGUGAGGAGUAGUUCCAUUUAUACAUGAUUGCAUUUUCUUGGUUGAUUGAUCAUUCAUGAUAAUAGCAUUUGUUGGAAAUUCUGUGAUUGUGUGAAAGCCAUAAUAAGUUUGAAUGAAGGAAUGCAUUUGAACAUCUUGACGGACAUUGGUAUGAUAAGCUGACAGUGGUUACUUGUCUUGGAAGUAAGAGUUUUGAAAUGUGUUAACCCAUUCCAUUGAUUGUGUGAAAGUAGAGUUACAUCUUGUUUUGCUUGAACACAAGUAAAGUUCUAAGUUUGGGGUUGUGAUAAUGGGUGAAAACACUGUUAUUUGAUACUUAAUUUUGAUACUAAUCACACCCUUUUUGACUUAGAAACUAGCUUGAAAUCAUGAAUUUGCUUAAGUUAGGGGAAUCAGAGAGUUGAAGGUUAACCAAUUGAUUUUAUGCUUAGAUUUCCUUAUUUUAAUAGGUAUUGAGAUGAUUUGGAAGAAGAGUUGAAGUAACAAGGAGCUAGAACUCAGAAGAACUAGAAAAGCAUCAUGAAGAGGAGUCGCAAUCCACGCUUGUGCGCCCUUUUAGGGGCCCUCAACGCAGAUACUGCUUAGGCGCCAAUCUAGGGGGUGUUAAGCGCAACUUUGAGCCGCAAUUCUUGCGUGGGCGCCCUUCCAAGGGCGUUGAGCGCCAUUAUUCAUUGUUUCACGACUGGGCGCCCUAAGUGGGGCGCUGAGCGUAGGUGACUAGGCUUGGGCUGUGUUUUCUGUUAUUUUUACGAGCUAUUUAAUGAUUUCGACGACCUAGAGAAGGUAUCUUUUGACAGAAGAGGCACAUAAACACUCCCUUCCAUCCCUUGGAGGAGGAUUUUGGAUGCGAAAGUUCCAAUCUUCAACUUUUAGGGUUUUAUCUUUCAUUCUUUUCCAUAUUUCAUCUAGUUUCACCAUGUCUAUGGUGAACUAAACUUCAAUUGUUGUUGGGGAAACGAUGUAAUCCUUUGAAACUCUCAUGUAUUGAAUUGAUUUAUAUUAUAAAUGUUUUACUUCAUUAAUUGUUAGGGAUUUUCCUUUAUGCUCUAUGCUCUCUUUGUUUAACUCAUUCAAUAGCAUGAUUAUUGAUUUUGUUGAUAUGGACACAUACAGGGAAAUCUAGAACUGGGGAAACUCUACCAAAAGCAGUAUUACCUAAACAUAGGGAUAUGAGGGUUGGUUGCCUUUAAGCUCCUACGCUUCAGAAUUAAUUAUUAGGAAUGCUAGGAAUUGUAUGAACUCGUAAUUAAGGAUAGGCUUUCUUCACCGAGACAUUGGGUUUUAAGUAUUUUAGAGAGUGGCAUUAACAUUAAUGAAGAAGACGAAAUCAUAAAUAUAUGAGAGUGGAUAGGAUAAGUCGGAAACCCCAACAACAUAAACAUUCCAUAUUUUAUACACCAAUCACAUGUGCAUUCUUAUUGUCAAUUGAUCAACACUUGCAUUCAUAUUUAUUUUUUGCAUUAUAAACUCAAUGAUUUUAUUUUCAGGUCUUAAUUAAUCAAGAAACCACAUGAAUGUCUAGGCCGUGACUCUCUAGGGAAAACGAUACUUGGUCUUGCCAAUUAUAUUACUUGAUACGAUUCGAUACACUUGUCUAGUCUUAACAGCAGCUAAAGUCUAUAUUUAUUUUGUUUAUAGCUCGAAUCCUUCAAGAAUAUAAUAUUAAAUGUGUUUAACAAUGUCACCGCUUCAGGAUGUUUCCAAAAGAGGUCACUAAUAACCUCUUAUUCGUUGACACACCUGCUCCAAUGAAUGAAUGUACUUAUCACGAUCCAACAUCAUCAUAAGUUAUUGUAGUUUAGUUCUGGACCCUUUCAAUCAUCGUUUAUAUGCAUGCCUUGUGUUAUAGAUUUGUUUAAUCGUUGUGACAUUGCGAUCAUUAUUUUCUUUCAGGGUUAAUAAAAUAUUUGCAUGGUGUAACUUUAGUCUUAGUCAUAUCAACGAGUAAUGAUUGUUCACUCGGAUUUAACUUGCCAACAUAAGGGUGGGUGACCAACUAAAGUUUCAGCUAAAUCAUGGUUGUGAUGUCCACACGUCACCUUUAACACCCAUUCGUCCCAUCAGAAGAUGGUUUACCAUUUAACCUAUACAAACAAUCACAUUUUCGAGUUCCGUAUACACUAGCCUCCACAUCGGGUUUGUAUUUUCGAUUUUUCACACCUCUUUCACAUCUAAGUAAGACGAACGUUUUUUUUCUUCGUACACCAGUAACUUUGUCAGACCUUGUUAUAAUCACGACAAAUCCUAGAUCAUGAGGCAUCCCUCUCACCCAUUCAAUUAAGUGAUCACAAGAAGAAAAUAUUUCAUUUGUAGUAAAAUUAUUUCUGAAAUCUCCCUCUCCAGCUUCUUUUAUGAAAAAAGAAAAAUCUUAUAUAAAACUAGAAUGAACUUGAGAAUCCAUAGCAUGACGAUAUUUUUUCGUUUUAAGCAAUAUUCAGCUAUAACAUAAUAUUCACUUUUAAUAACAUAAUUCAUAAUUAAUUAAAAUAAUAUAAAAAUUAAUAAAUAUUAUCUAUAUAAUUAUUAAAUUAUUAAACAAAUAAAUACAAAAAUACAAAAAUAUCUAAUAAUCAUUAAAUUAAUAAACAAACAUUAUAAAUAAUCUAUAUAAAUCAUAUAUAAAAUUUAUAACAAAUUAAAUUUAACAAACAAAUCAUUAUGAUAUAAUAAACAAUUAAAAUAAAAGAAUAAUAAAUAAAUCAAUCAAUCGAUGAGGUCUGAAACAGAUUUCAAAAUUUAUUGAAGACCUUCUAAGAUAUCGAAAUUCAUGAACCGAUUUUAAAAUAUGUCGAAGGUCUCUACGAAUUUCGCAUACCUGAGACGAGUUGUUGCAACCCACCACCACGAGAAACCUUCACCACACCACCUUGUUGCAUCUAUAAGCUGUUACAUCACAACAAGAACGAACCUUUUGCACCACUAGAAGCACACCAUCACGCACAAAG